rnacentral:rRNA from 1 species
AUACAGAGGGUGCGAGCGUUAAUCGGAAUUACUGGGCGUAAAGCGCGCGUAGGCGGCUUAUUAAGUCAGAUGUGAAAUCCCCGGGCUCAACCUGGGAACUGCAUCUGAUACUGGUAAGCUAGAGUUUGAGAGAGGGAAGUAGAAUUUCAGGUGUAGCGGUGAAAUGCAUAGAGAUCUGAAGGAAUACCAGUGGCGAAGGCGACUUCCUGGCCUAAAACUGACGCUGAGGUGCGAAAGCGUGGGUAGCAAACGGGAUUAGAUACCCGGGUAGUCC